rnacentral:rRNA from 1 species
GACGAACGCUGGCGGCGUGCUUAACACAUGCAAGUCGAACGAAGUGGCGAACGGGUGAGUAACGCGUAAUCAACCUGCCCUUCAGAGGGGGACAACAGUUGGAAACGACUGCUAAUACCGCAUACUGAAGGUGGGGAUUGCGUCUGAUUAGCUGGUUGGGGGGGGAACGGCCCACCAAGGCGAUGAUCCGUAGCCGGUCCGGGAGGGUGAACGGCCACAAUGGGACUGGGACAAGGGCCAGACUCCUACGGGAGGCAGCAGGGGGGGAUCUUCCGAAAUGGACGAAAGUCUGGCGGAGCAACGCCGCGUGAGUGAUGACGGCCUUCGGGUUGUAAAGCUCUGUUAAUCGGGACGCGUUACCGGAAUAGAAAGCCACGGCUAACUACGUGCCAGCAGCCGCGGUAAUAC